AGAGUUUGAUCCUGGCUCAGAACGAACGCUGGCGGCAGGCUUAACACAUGCAAGUCGAACGAUAUAGUGGCAGACGGGUGAGUAACGCGUGGAAACGUGCCCUUCACUACGGAAUAGCUUUUGGAAACGAAAGGUAAUACCGUAUACGCCCUCCGGGGGAAAGAUUUAUCGGUGAAAGAUCGGUCCGCGUUAGAUUAGCUAGUUGGUGAGGUAAGAGCUCACCAAGGCGACGAUCUAUAGCUGGUCUGAGAGGAUGAUCAGCCACACUGGGACUGAGACACGGCCCAGACUCCUACGGGAGGCAGCAGUGGGGAAUAUUGCACAAUGGGCGCAAGCCUGAUGCAGCCAUGCCGCGUGAAUGAUGAAGGCCUUAGGGUUGUAAAAUUCUUUCGCUAGGGAUGAUAAUGACAGUACCUAGUAAAGAAGCCCCGGCUAACUUCGUGCCAGCAGCCGCGGUAAUACGAAGGGGGCUAGCGUUGUUCGGAAUUACUGGGCGUAAAGCGCACGUAGGCGGACUUUUAAGUCAGAUGUGAAAUCCCGAGGCUCAACCUCGGAACUGCAUUUGAAACUGGGAGUCUAGAGAUCAGGAGAGGUUAGCGGAAUACCC
rnacentral:rRNA from 1 species